GAUGAACGCUGGCGGCGUGCCUAAUACAUGCAAGUCGAGCGAACGGACGAGAAGCUUGCUUCUCUGAUGUUAGCGGCGGACGGGUGAGUAACACGUGGAUAACCUACCUAUAAGACUGGGAUAACUUCGGGAAACCGGAGCUAAUACCGGAUAAUAUUUUGAACCGCAUGGUUCAAAAGUGAAAGACGGUCUUGCUGUCACUUAUAGAUGGAUCCGCGCUGCAUUAGCUAGUUGGUAAGGUAACGGCUUACCAAGGCAACGAUGCAUAGCCGACCUGAGAGGGUGAUCGGCCACACUGGAACUGAGACACGGUCAAGACUCCUACGGGAGGCAGCAGUAGGGAAUCUUCCGCAAUGGGCGAAAGCCUGACGGAGCAACGCCGCGUGAGUGAUGAAGGUCUUCGGAUCGUAAAACUCUGUUAUUAGGGAAGAACAUAUGUGUAAGUAACUGCGCACAUCUUGACGGUACCUAAUCAGAAAGCCACGGCUAACUACGUG
rnacentral:rRNA from 1 species